GGGCGUGAUUAAUAUUAUUACUAAACAGGGCGAGGAUGCACCGAGUUUAUCUGGUCGACUUGAAGCCGCCGAAGAUAAUACUUUU
rnacentral:tRNA from 1 species